rnacentral:rRNA from 1 species
GACGAACGCUGGCGGCGUGCUUAACACAUGCAAGUCGAACGAAGAGCGACGGAAGCUUGCUUCUAUCAAUCUUAGUGGCGAACGGGUGAGUAACGCGUAAUCAACCUGCCCUUCAGAGGGGGACAACAGUUGGAAACGACUGCUAAUACCGCAUACGAUCUAACCUCGGCAUCGAGGAUAGAUGAAAGGUGGCCUCUACAUGUAAGCUAUCACUGAAGGAGGGGAUUGCGUCUGAUUAGCUAGUUGGAGGGGUAACGGCCCACCAAGGCGAUGAUCAGUAGCCGGUCUGAGAGGAUGAACGGCCACAUUGGGACUGAGACACGGCCCAGACUCCUACGGGAGGCAGCAGUGGGGAACCUUCCGCAAUGGACGAAAGUCUGACGGAGCAACGCCGCGUGAGUGCUGACGGCCUUCGGGUUGUAAAGCUCUGUUAAUCGGGACGAAAGGCCUUCUUGCGAAUAGUGAGAAGGAUUGACGGUACCGGAAUAGAAAGCCACGGCUAACUACGUG